rnacentral:rRNA from 1 species
UACGUAGGUGACAAGCGUUGUCCGGAUUUACUGGGCGUAAAGGGUGCGUAGGCGGUCUUAUAAGUCAGUGGUGAAAUACGGCAGCUCAACUGUCGAGGUGCCAUUGAUACUGUAGGACUUGAGUACAGACGAGGUAGGCGGAAUUGACGGUGUAGCGGUGAAAUGCUUAGAUAUCGUCAAGAACACCGAUAGCGAAGGCAGCUUACUAGGCUGUAACUGACGCUGAGGCACGAAAGUGUGGGGAUCAAACAGG